rnacentral:rRNA from 1 species
UACAGAGGUCUCAAGCGUUGUUCGGAUUCAUUGGGCGUAAAGGGUGUGUAGGUGGCGCGCUAAGUCGGGUGUGAAAUUUCGGAGCUUAACUCCGAAACUGCAUUCGAUACUGGCGUGCUUGAGGACUGGAGAGGAGAUUGGAAUUCACGGUGUAGCAGUGAAAUGCGUAGAUAUCGUGAGGAAGACCAGUGGCGAAGGCGGAUCUCUGGACAGUUCCUGACGCUGAGGCGCGAAGGCCAGGGGAGCAAACGGG